rnacentral:lncRNA from 1 species
CCCCCCCAGAGGGGAGACCAAAAAGAAGUUCAAAGACCCCAAUGUACCGAAGAGACCUCCUUCAGCCUUCUUCUUGUUCUGUUCUGAGUACCGCCCAAAAAUUAAAGGCAAGCACUCUGGCUUAUCCAUUGGUGAUGUUGCAAAGAAACUAGGAGAGAUGUGGAACAACACUGCUGUGGAUGACAAGCAGCCCUAUGAGAAGACGGCCGCCACGCUGAAGGAGAAGUACAAGAAGGAUAUUGCUGCCUACAGAGCUAAAGGAAAACCUGAUGCAGUCAAAAAGGGGGUGGUCAAGGCUGAAAAGGACAAGAAAAAGAAAGGAGAGAAAGAGGAGGAGGAUAAAGAGGGUGAGGAAGGGGAGAAAAAGAGAAAGAAGAAGAUGAUGAAUGAGUUGGUUCUAGCAGGGUUUUUUUUUCUGGUUUAUAAAGCAUUUAGCGUCUCUGUACACAAUUCACUCCUUUUAAAAAAAAGAAUGAAA